AAGUGGCUAGUCUAACCGCAAGGAGGACGGUCACCACGGUAGGAUUCAUGACUGGGGUGAAGUCGUAACAAGGUAGCCGUAUCGGAAGGUGCGGCUGGAUCACCUCCUUUC
rnacentral:rRNA from 3 species